rnacentral:rRNA from 1 species
UACAGAGGUCUCAAGCGUUGUUCGGAUUCAUUGGGCGUAAAGGGUGCGUAGGCGGCGCGGUAAGUCGGGUGUGAAAUCUUGGAGCUUAACUCCGAAACUGCAUUCGAUACUGCCGUGCUUGAGGACUGGAGAGGAGACUGGAAUUUACGGUGUAGCGGUGAAAUGCGUAGAUAUCGUAAGGAAGACCAGUGGCGAAGGCGGGCUACUGGGCCGAUACUGACGCUGAGGCGCGAAAGCCAGGGGAGCAAACGGG